UAUUUUCUGCAUAAUUAUGUUAUACUGUAUAGCAUUUCCUUGAAAGCUUUUAAGAAAGUAAGCAUGACUAUGGUCUAGGACACUAUUAUUAACGUCCAAAUAAACCACUCUUCUGAACAGAAUUGUACAGUUAAUGAGGAGCUUAGUUGAAAUAUAAGAACUUAUUCUUUUAGUGUAUUUGCUGCAAUUUAUAGUUAAAUGCAUGGUUGAAAGAAGUACUGAUCUUCACAUUUGUCUCAUGUUAGGUAAAUGUUUUAAUUCUCUCUAGUUGUAAUUGUUGAAAUACUUUUACUUCUGAAUUUUUGUAGCCUUUUGAAACAGUAAUUUGAUAUGUAGCCUUGUGAGUGUGCAGUUGUUUUAGUAUGUGGUUUGACAUGUAGUUUUGCAUCAGAGAUCUGGAGUUGUAUUAUAGCUAAAAAUGAUCUUUGUGUGAUAUUUGUGAUGUUUGCAUCUAGUGUGUUGGAUUAUAGUUUUGCAGAAAGACUUCCAUUAUGCUUUGUAACCGCCUACCAAAAUAAAAAGGCAGUGAGAUAGGCCCUGAUUCUGCUAAGAGGUGGAAGUCUUUAAGGGGAAACGAAAUAUAAGUUAUAGAGAGAUCUUUUUCACUGCACAGAACACACUCUCUAAAGGAUAUGGAGAAUAUUUUUCAACUGGUGCGCAACGUUAUCCCUCCUCUAACAGGGAAAAAGCAUAAAGGUCAAGAUGGUCGUAUAGGCAUUGUUGGAGGAUGUCGAGAGUACACUGGAGCACCGUAUUUUGCUGCAAUUACAGCUCUCAAAGUGGUAUGUGUUCUUCUAUACCA